rnacentral:tRNA from 1 species
GGCAAUGUGGCUUAGUGGUUGAGUGUUUGCCUCGCAUGCAUGAAGUCCUGGGUUCGAUUCCUCAGUACCA